CCUACGGGAGGCAGCAGUGGGGAAUUUUCCGCAAUGGGCGCAAGCCUGACGGAGCAACGCCGCGUGAGGGAUGAAGGCCUCUGGGCUGUAAACCUCUUUUCUCAAGGAAGAAGACCUGACGGUACUUGAGGAAUAAGCCACGGCUAAUUCCGUGCCAGCAGCCGCGGUAAUACGGGAGUGGCAAGCGUUAUCCGGAAUUAUUGGGCGUAAAGCGUCCGCAGGCGGCCUAUUAAGUCUGUCGUUAAAGCGUGGAGCUCAACUCCAUUUAAGCGAUGGAAACUGGAAGGCUAGAGUGUGGUAGGGGCAGAGGGAAUUCCCGGUGUAGCGGUGAAAUGCGUAGAUAUCGGGAAGAACACCAGUGGCGAAGGCGCUCUGCUGGGCCAUAACUGACGCUCAUGGACGAAAGCCAGGGGAGCGAAAGGGAUUAGAUACCCCUGUAGUCCUGGCCGUAAACGAUGAACACUAGGUGUCGGGGGAAUCGACCCCCUCGGUGUCGUAGCUAACGCGUUAAGUGUUCCGCCUGGGGAGUACGCACGCAGUGUGAACUACAAAGAAAGUUAGUACGG
rnacentral:rRNA from 1 species